CAGUUACACAGCUCAUGAGUGCCUGCUGGGGUGGAACCUGGUCUGUCUGUCUGUCUAACACCAGAGCUCGGGCGCUGCUGCAGAGGGAGCCAAGAUUUGGGUGAGGGAGG
ensembl:miRNA